rnacentral:misc_RNA from 1 species
UCCGUAGGUGAACCUGCGGAAGGAUCAUUAAAAGUGAGAGAUCCAAUGGUGCAACUGCCAGUGGGAGUGGGGUCUAAGAAGAUCUGCGUGGUAUUUUCAAAUCUUGGAUCCUUUUAGGAGCACUCACAUGGAAAGUAAGUCUCCAGUGCGUGACCUAAGCCAGACAACCAGUCUAUGUAGGUGCCUAACAAAGUUAAGUAACUUAGGAAUCGGUGUCUAACCUACAGGAUUUUUGGGAUGCUGACAGCGACAUUCCGGCUGCUAAACAGCAAAUCCCCCCCAGGCUUAACAGGUCACCCACUGGCAGCAAUCUGUGGACGAGACGUCCUAAGUCAGACUGAGGGUCAGAAAGAGAGAAAAGCGCGCAUUGAGCUCCCCUGCUCUGCUGCUGUUGUGCUGUUGGGUCUCCCCAAAAACCGGGUGUGAAGGGUGGUUCGCAACUGCUCUUCACAUGUCUGGACCCGUGUCUUUGUGUACUACUUGUUUCCUCGGUGGGCUCGCCCACCAACGAGGACCAACCCAAACCCUUUGUUGUAGUCGUACUGUCUGAGAAUUAAACAAACUAUCAAAACUUUCAACAACGGAUCUCUUGGUUCUGGCAUCGAUGAAGAACGCAGCGAAAUGCGAUAAGUAGUGUGAAUUGCAGAAUUCCGUGAAUCAUCGAAUCUUUGAACGCACAUUGCGCCCUUUGGUAUUCCUUAGGGCAUGCCUGUUCGAGCGUCAUUUAGACCCUCAAGCUAUGCUUGGUGUUGGGUGCCUGUCCUGCCUGUGGCUGGACUCGCCUUGAAGACAUUGGCGGUUGUUGUAUCGGCUGGAAGCGCAGCAGAGACGCGCCUCUCCUGGCCUGAUGCCCUCCCCCAAGAAGCCAAACCUAUGACUUGACCUCGGAUCAGGUAGGGAUACCCGCUGAACUUAAGCAUAUCAAUAAGCGGAGGAAAAGAAACCAACAGGGAUUGCCCUAGUAACGGCGAGUGAAGCGGCAACAGCUCAAAUUUGAAAUCUGGUCCUUUCAGGGCCCGAGUUGUAAUUUGCAGAGGGUGCUUUGGUGUCGGCAUUGGCCUAAGUUCCUUGGAACAGGGCGUCGCAGAGGGUGAGAACCCCGUAUGUGGCCCAUUGCCUUCGCCAUGUAAAGCCCCUUCGACGAGUCGAGUUGUUUGGGAAUGCAGCUCUAAAUGGGAGGUAAAUUUCUUCUAAAGCUAAAUACUGGCCAGAGACCGAUAGCGCACAAGUAGAGUGAUCGAAAGAUGAAAAGCACUUUGGAAAGAGAGUCAAAAAGCACGUGAAAUUGUUGAAAGGGAAGCGCUUGCAGCCAGACUUGUCUGUAGUUGUUCAUUCGCACUCAUUGAGCGAUGCACUCAUCUACGGGCAGGCCAGCAUCAGUUCUGGCGGUUGGACAAAGGCCCACUUCAUGUACCUUCCCCUCGUGGUUGGCCUUAUAGAGUGGGUGAAAUGCAACCAGCUGGAACUGAGGUCCGCGCAUCUGCUAGGAUGCUGGCGUAAUGGC